rnacentral:rRNA from 1 species
CCUACGGGAGGCAGCAGUAAGGAAUAUUGCUCAAUGGCCGAAAGGCUGAAGCAGCAACGCCGCGUGGAGGAUGAAAUACUUUUGUAUGUAAACUCCUGUAAGAGGGGAAAAAUAUGCAGUCAUUCUGCGUUGAUUGUACCCUCAGAGUAAGCCCCGGCUAACUACGUGCCAGCAGCCGCGGUAAUACGUAGGGGGCAAGCGUUGUCCGGAUUUACUGGGUGCAAAGGGUGCUCAGGUGGACUUUUAAGUCAGAGGUGAAAUCCCAAAGCUUAACUUUGGAGCUGCCUUUGAUACUGAAAGUCUUGAGUUUGAGAGAGGGCAAUGGAAUAUCUGGUGUAGCAGUGAAAUGCGUAGAUAUCAGAUAGAACACCAAUGGCGAAGGCAGUUGCCUGGCUCAAAACUGACGCUAAAGCACGAAAGUGUGGGGAGCAAACAGGAUUAGAUACCCUGGUAGUCCACACCCUAAACGAUGAAUACUAGAUGUUGGUCUUUUUUAAGAUCAGUAUCCAAGCUAACGCAUUAAGUAUUCCACCUGGGAAGUACAAUCGCAAGGUUGAAACUCAAAGGAAUUGACGGA